AAAAAAGGUAAGCUACUAAGAGCGAAUGGUGGAUGCCUUGACUGGUAAAGGCGAUGAAGGACGUACUAGACUGCGAUAAGCUACGGGGAGCUGUCAAGAAGCUUUGAUCCGUAGAUUUCCGAAUGGGGCAACCCAGUAUAUAGAGAUAUAUACUACCAUAAUGGAGCGAACGAGGGGAAUUGAAACAUCUUAGUACCCUCAGGAAAAGAAAUCAAUAGAGAUUAUGUCAGUAGCGGCGAGCGAAAGCGUAAGAGGGCAAACCCAGUGCUUGCACUGGGGGUUGUAGGACUGCAAUGUGCAAUAAGUAAGGUUAGUAGAACACUCUGGAAAGUGUAGCCAUAGAGGGUGAUAGUCCCGUAUACGAAAACCAAACUUUAGCUAGCAGUAUCCUGAGUAGGGCGAAACACGUGGAAUUUUGUCUGAAGCUGGGUCGACCACGAUCCAACCCUAAAUACUAAUACCAGAUCGAUAGUGCACAAGUACCGUGAGGGAAAGGUGAAAAGAACUGAGGUGAUCAGAGUGAAAUAGAACCUGAAACCAUUUGCUUACAAUCAUUCAGAGCACUAUGUAGCAAUACAGUGUGAUGGACUGCCUUUUGCAUAAUGAGCCUGCGAGUUGUGGUGUCUGGCAAGGUUAAGCACACGCGAAGCCGUAGCGAAAGCGAGUCUGAAUAGGGCGCUUAAGUCAGAUGCUGCAGACCCGAAACGAAGUGAUCUAUCCAUGAGCAAGUUGAAGCUAGUGUAAGAACUAGUGGAGGACUGAACCCAUAGGCGUUGAAAAGCCCCGGGAUGACUUGUGGAUAGGGGUGAAAGGCCAAUCAAACUUCGUGAUAGCUGGUUCUCUCCGAAAUAUAUUUAGGUAUAGCGUUGUGUCGUAGUAUAAGGGGGUAGAGCACUGAAUGGGCUAGGGCAUACACCAAUGUACCAAACCCUAUCAAACUCCGAAUACCUUAUAUGUAAUCACAGCAGUCAGGCGGCGAGUGAUAAAAUCCGUCGUCAAGAGGGAAACAACCCAGACUAUCAGCUAAGGUCCCCAAGUCUUACUUAAGUGGAAAACGAUGUGAAGUUACUUAAACAACCAGGAGGUUGGCUUAGAAGCAGCCAUCCUUUAAAGAAAGCGUAAUAGCUCACUGGUCUAGUGAUUUUGCGCGGAAAAUAUAACGGGGCUAAAGUAAGCACCGAAGCUAUAGACUUAGUUUUACUAAGUGGUAGGAGAGCGUUCUAUUUGCGUCGAAGGUAUACCGGUAAGGAGUGCUGGAGCGAAUAGAAGUGAGCAUGCAGGCAUGAGUAGCGAUAAUUAAUGUGAGAAUCAUUAACGCCGUAAACCCAAGGUUUCCUACGCGAUGCUCGUCAUCGUAGGGUUAGUCGGGUCCUAAGUCGAGUCCGAAAGGGGUAGACGAUGGCAAAUUGGUUAAUAUUCCAAUACCAACAUUAGUGUGCGAUGGAAGGACGCUUAGGGCUAAGCAAGCUAGCGGAUGGAAGUGCUAGUCUAAGGAUGUAGGAGCUUAUACAGGCAAAUCCGUAUAAGAAUACUCCGAGAUCUUAAAGGCUCUUUGAAGUCUUCGGAUGGAUAGGAGAAUUGCUG
rnacentral:rRNA from 1 species